rnacentral:lncRNA from 1 species
UUUUCUCAUUCAACCCCUUGGUUUUCAAUAUCAUUUAUAUGCUAACAACUCUCAAAAUGAAAUAUUCUCUCUAACCCCUAUCCCAAGCUCCAGACUUGUAUGUUAGCAUCUCCAGUUGGAUGUCUCAUUAGCAUCUCAAAUGGAACUCUGAAUCUCUGCUCCAAAAUAGGUACCUUCCUCAGUUUCCUCAGCUUGGUAAAGUGACUUCAGUCCUCUCAACUGCUGAAGGAAAAUGCCAGGAGGCAUUGCUGGUACUUUUCUGUCCCUUAUUUCUAGUUUGCAGCAAAUUCUGUCUCCCUCCCUCCAAUAUAUCUCAAAUCCACCUCCUCUGCCCAUCCUCUCGUUCAUCAUCCUUCUCUAAGCCAUCAGUAUCUCUAUAUGAACCACUGCAACUGCCCCCAAUCACUUUCCUGCCUAUAAUCCCUCCAAUGAAACUGGUUGUAGGACUAUGGAAAUGAUACAGUUUGUGGGUAGGCAAACCUCCUCCUCUCUGAGAGGAAGUGGGACAACCUUUUGCUUCUGAGUUCUUCAAAUCAUUUCUCAAGUUCUUUCCUGUAUUAAUUUUCUAUUGCUUCUAUAACAAAUUACUACAAGCUCAGUGGCUUAAAUCAAUGCAAACUUAUUAUCUUAUAGUUCUGGAGGUCAAAAGUUCUAAAAUCAAGGUGUUGACAAGGCUGCGUUCCUUCAGAGGCUCUAGCAGGGAAUCAAUUCCUGCUACUCUAAGUAGCAGCCAGAGUGAACCUUUUCAAAUAAGAAUGCUGUUCCCUCAUUGAAACACAUCAAACCAUUAGGAUGGCCUAUAAGACCCGGAUCUCGUCUGUCCAGUCUUUCCAGCCUCCAGUUCUGGCACUUUCCCUUUUACCCGACUAAUGAACUCAUAUGAUUUGCUUUCAGGUCCCUGAACGUUACUGCUUCUCUAUCCCUGGAAAUCAACUCCCCUAAUUUCCUAAUGUGCUUUGUCUUUCUUCACCACACAUGGUAGUCCAAAAUGUCAAUUCCUUAAGGGCAAGACUCUGUUCAGGUCACCUUUAUGUCCCUUCUCAGAAACAGAGAAAGCAUUGGACCUCAUCCCUGGUAAAAAUGCACACAAGCGAAAAUGUUCACAUGUAGUUUUUAGGGGUUCAUAAGGUCAGCUUGCUCAAAGGUUAGAGUAUUUGGUUUUUAAAAUACAUAUCAGGCGUGGGAGAUUCUCCUGGUUGCUGUAGCAGUCAAAAAACCCCUAUAAAGUGAUGGAUAAAUUGCCUCAUAUCAUCACUCAAUGUUACAGGUUUGACAAACUAGCCAACUGCCUGCAUUUCAAUGGGGACCACUGUCUUAUACCAUGUGGGUCAGCAUACAACAGCCCAUGGGACAGGCCCCGCUUACUGCCCGUUUUUGUAAAUAAGGUUUAAUUGGAAUAAAGCCACAUCCAUUCAUUUACAAAUUGUCUGCGGCUGCUAUCUACAAUGGCAGCAGAGUUGAGUAAUUGCUACAGAGACUGUAUGGCCCACAGAGCUCGAAAUACUGUAUGGCCCACAGAGCUCGAAAUACUGUCUGGCCCUUUAUAGAAAAAGAUUGCCAAGGCUGGCUGCAGUGACUCACGCCUGUAAUCCCAGCACUUUGGGAGGCCGAGGUGGGAGGAUCACUUGAGCUCAGGAGUUUGAAAGCAGCCUGGGCAAUAUAGUGAUACCUCAUCUCUUUAUAUUUAAUAAAAAUAAAAAUAAAUAAAAAAGAAAAAGAUUGCCAACUCCUGAUCUAUACAAACAUUCUGCACCAGUUUUUAUGUACAUGUGGGUAGAAGACAAAGCUGCCAGCUUAGUCUUCUUGGGAGAAAAUGAGAAGUGACUGCUGCUGGGCAAGCCAUAAUAUGAUGCUCCUUCAAAUCAAAACUCUUUACAUCUUUGUUCAACAUGUAAUUGGUAAGGAUGGGGAGAAACUUAUUUCCUAUUAAUAAAAGCCAUAUACCUCUUCCUUUAGCUCA